GUUGAAAUCAUGAGCCCUGUGCAUUCCUGCCAUUGUUUUGCUUUUUUUAAAUAGAUGUUUAUGUGAUCAGGAAUAGAUAAAAGUUAAUGGUGAGAUAAAAGAUAUAAGGGACAUCAAGCCUUCUGCUUCAGAACAAAAGCCAAUACCCUGCCUAACAGAGGUAAAAUGACACUUCCUCUUACAUAGGCAUCUUUUUUAUCACAGUCGAUUCAUAAUGGAGACUCUCCACCUUUCUGAGAAGCAUCUGGAAAUAGUCUUACUUGGAAACAGGAUACAGAAUUAGAUGGACCACUGGACUAAUCCUAUAUGGCAGUUCUUUUCCUCUGCCUAGCUGAAACCGGGAAGUCACAGCAGGAUUCUAGAUUAUAAGGCAAGAAAGGACUGUUGUGAUCAACUUGGCUGACUUCUUUAACUGGCUGGGCAGAGGCUGACUUGCAAGAUUUCAAGUCAGAAAAUUUCAUCCCAUGAUUCCUGCAUCAAUGGCAAUAGUUUCCAUCUGAGAAGCAGCAGAUCUUUUAGCAGGAAGUACCAAGUCUGGAGCUAGAGAAUUCAAGUGAUUGCAAAUCCUCCAUACCUCUAGCUCCAUGUGGCAGAAGGACCCUGUGACAUCCUCCAGGCACUCAAAGGUUUGGAAAUAAAAGUAAAUCUCCUAGGCAGAAAACAGGACUGCUUCAAACCAUACCCACCCAUGGCUGGACAGAUGGAGUUCCCAUUUUCUUCACUUAUACUCAGACUAAACAACAUUAAAUUUGCAAAUCUGACAGCUAUUUAUAGCAAACAUCAACUGUAGUAACCAAAAAGUUUGGUGGCUAUCCAUGGCUAGAAUCUGUAAGACUGUGUUUAAUAUUGGCAUAUGUGGUAAUUAGCUAAGAAAAUUUAUGCCAGAAUUAACACCUUAAAAAAGUAAAAGUCCUAUAUAUAGAAACAUGCAAAAAAAAACCCCAAACAUUUAUUUUUUUUCCCAAUGAAAAAUGUUCUUAUUUUAUUUUUUCUAAUUUACCAUUAAUGGGAAUUAAAAGCAAUUAUCACAAGAAUCUACACUUCUUUUGCACCUUUCAUCUAUGAAUCUGCAUGUACUGUACAUCAGACCCCAGAAAAGGGAAAUAAAUGUCAUUAUAUCCAUUAAAACUUGGCCAUCUGAGGUGUGGAGCAUUUAAGGAGCUUAUUUUAAAAGCGAGUUAACUGAGUGUCUCACAUUUUGGCAU